CGGAGGGUGCAAGCGUUAUCCGGAUUCACUGGGUUUAAAGGGUGCGUAGGUGGGUUGAUAAGUCAGUGGUGAAAUCCCCGAGCUUAACUUGGGAACUGCCAUUGAUACUAUUGAUCUUGAAUACCGUGGAGGUCAGCGGAAUAUGUCAUGUAGCGGUGAAAUGCUUAGAUAUGACAUAGAACACCAAUUGCGAAGGCAGCUGGCUACGCGAAUAUUGACACUGAUGCACGAAAGCGUGGGGAUCAAACAGGAUUAGAUACCCUGGUAGUCCACGCCCUAAACUAUGGAUACUCGACAUCAGCGAUACACUGUUGGUGUCUGAGCGAAAGCAUUAAGUAUCCCACCUGGGAAGUACGAUCGCAAGAUUG
rnacentral:rRNA from 1 species